GUCGAGAAUCUUCCGCAAUGCGCGAAAGCGUGACGGAGCGACACCGCGUGAUGGAUGAAGUCCUUCGGGGCGUAAACAUCUUUUAUAAAGGAGGAAAUUUUUGACGUUACUUUAUGAAUAAGGGGCUCCCAAUCUCGUGCCAGCAGGAGCGGUAAUACGAGAGCCUCAAGCGUUAUCCGGAAUCAUUGGGCGUAAAGGGUGCGUAGGUGGUUUGAUUAGUCUCCCGUUAAAACUUCGAGCUUAACUCGAAAAGAGCGGGGGAAACGGUCAAACUAGGGUAUGUGAGAGGUGUGUGGAACUCAUGGUGUAGGGGUGAAAUCCGUUGAUAUCAUGGGGAACACCAAAAGCGAAGGCAGCACACUGGCACAUCACUGACACUGAGGCACGAAACCUAAGGUAGCGAAUGGGAUUAGAAACCCCGGUAGUCC
rnacentral:rRNA from 1 species